UGUCCAGCAACUCCUAUCCCUACCUCCUCGUGGUGCCGGCCGAAAUCUACGAGCAACCUUAGGGAAGAUCGGGUAACCAACCCCGGGGGAACUUUGGUCGUAGGCUGACAGAAAGGG
rnacentral:ribozyme from 1 species